UGGGACUCAGGGCAUCCGGUCCUUGGAGAAUGGUUUGGCAAAAGAGAGCCUGGAUGCUGGGGGUUGGGCGCUGGGCAGGAGAGCUAAGUCCAAUGGAGAGCGAGGCCUUAGAAGACACACCCUGAGUCCCUUCUCUAUUUGAUUUUUCCAAGAGGAAAGACAUCUGAUAACCGACCCUAACCCAUCUCUCUGGUCCAGGAUGGUCAAGGCCUAGGUCUAGGACAAUCUGGGAUAUUCCCCCAGGACCCAGCUUCCCACCCUCAGGACAGCCCUCUCCACCCCUAACCCACCUCUCUCCCACCCUCCCCAAACGCCUCUGCUUCCGGGCCCCCAGCGUACCCCACACCAUCUACACUCGGCUCCAGCCCGAGCCCCACCCUCCCGGGGGGACAGAUGGAGCUGGAGGAGGCGGUCGGCGCGGCUCCGCCAGGUGUCCGAGGAUGAAGAGGGGGAGGCGGCCCCGCCGAGCUCGGCUGCGUGGGCUGGAUUUCCUAGUGCCCAUACCCAGGUACCCCCACGUCUCUGAUUUGUUCCCCUCAAAUCCAGCAAUCCAGCUUGGCUCUUGGCUUCCGAUGCCUCUCCAAGCAGGACCAGGCACCCACAUCGCCCUCCGAGUUCCUCCCCAACCGUACCUGGGCCCUGCCGGGAGGGAGGAAGUGGUCGUCUUCCUGUGGGUAGGUUGCCUGCUCCGCGUCCUGACGAGGCUGUUGGCUGGUGCCCGGGAAUCCACAGCUCGCUUCGCCAGGCACCGGGGGCUCGGCCGCAGCGCCAGGGCUGCUCCACUGGGACUUCUUCAGCCUGUGGAGAUUUUAGGCUUAGCAGAGGUGCCUGGAGGCCAGGCUUCCUGUCUCUCCAUUCUUCACCUUUCUGCCCUAAAAUACUUUCUGCUGGGACGGAGGGGCAUUGUCCUUUGACUUCCUACUCUCCACUCCCACUGUCUGCUCCCCUCAGACUGAAGUAUUUUUAGUUCAAGGACUCAGAGGUGACCACUAGCUCCCCACUGUCCUCCAGGUCUAUGGAGUGCUUUCCUGGCUUUAGUGAUCCAAUUUCCACUUCUUCUAGCUCAGGAUGGCUCAUCCACCAUCCCUUCGCUCCCGCCUUUCCACAUUAUGGAAAUUCUGCUGCGAUCCCACCAAGUUCAUGAUUCAUUUCCAAACAACCUCCAAUUCCUUCAAAAUCCUCCACCCCUUCCUUAGUUCAAACCAUUCUGCCUCCAAACCCUGCUAGGCUCCCGGAGCCCAGAUGUCGCUCCUUACUCAUUGAUGAUUCUCUGUCGCCUCCUUAGAUCCUCCAGGUGGUAAGUGACAGCCCUUACCCGGGCUGGGAUGCCCCCAGGUCCCUGCAUUCCUGCCAAAUAUGACCUCCUCCUCUUUCUUCUGAAAAGCAUCUCAGGGGGUGGGAGCCCCUCAGGUGGGUACACGCCAGGCUGGGAACAACCAGUGGCUCUCUGUGCCAAAGAAGGGGGAAAGGAGGUAGAUGGCAGAACGGGGGCUCUCGGGGGAGCUUCGACUGAAACAGGGAGUCAGGGGUCUUGGGAAGCUCAGAUCACGAAAACAGCUGUGAUCUGGAAAACACGAUGGAUAGAAAGGAGGGCCUGUUCUGUGCUUUGGUUGGGGGACACUAGAGGGAACGUGUAAUAGGAGAGCUGGGGUGCAGUUUUAACCGAGAAGUAUUGAAGGGCAGAAGGUUUGUCAUACCUGCAGGGAGGGGAUGUACCGUUCUUCCAUCCAGGUGGAGCUGUGAAGCACAAAAAAGGGGGCUAAGUGCAGCGCGGCACCCCCAUCCAUGUUGUUUCCCUAAUGAUCUCUCCCAACCACCUAUUUAUCUAUUAUCAGGAGCCUACAAAGUCCAUCAACCAGUGAGGCAGUUAUUCCCAGACUAGUGCAUAUUGCUAUAGAGCUUUCUUCCCCUUAAUCCUCACCUGAGGACCUGCUUUUAUUGAUUUUAGAGUGAGAAGAAGGGAGAGAGAAACAUUGAUCAGUUGCCUCCUCACUUGUGCCAACCAGGGAUCAAACCCGAAACCUGAGUAUGUGCCCCAACCAGGGUUCAAACCUGUCACCUUUCCGUGUUCAAGUCAACUAAGCCACACCGGCCAGGGCUGUCAAGCUUUGUGAGUGUUAAAAUUGUACAGCCUCACCUUCCCACCGCCAGUUAGUCCCCGUUUUCCCAUUUCGCCCACCUGGGCCUUUCACUAAGGCUGUCCUGGAAGACGUCUCCAUAAUGCUGGCGUGUCAGUCUGAGGCUCUGGGGAGGCAAGCUGGGGGGUGAGGAUCGGCUGACCACCCUGGAACACCUGCGGGAGAGUGGAAGAGAGUGGGAAAGACAGACAGAAACAUCUCUGUGAAAGAGACACAUCGAUUGGUUGCCUCCUGGAUGUACCCCAACCAGGAUCCCUG